AAUCCAUAGGUUAAUGAGGCGAACCGGGGGAACUGAAACAUCUAAGUACCCCGAGGAAAAGAAAUCAACCGAGAUUCCCCCAGUAGCGGCGAGCGAACGGGGAGGAGCCCAGAGCCUGAAUCAGCAUGUGUGUUAGUGGAAGCGUCUGGAAAGGCGCGCGAUACAGGGUGACAGCCCCGUACACAAAAGCGCAUGUGUUGUGAGCUCGAUGAGUAGGGCGGGACACGUGGUAUCCUGUCUGAAUAUGGGGGGACCAUCCUCCAAGGCUAAAUACUCCUGACUGACCGAUAGUGAACCAGUACCGUGAGGGAAAGGCGAAAAGAACCCCGGCGAGGGGAGUGAAAAAGAACCUGAAACCGUGUACGUACAAGCAGUGGGAGCACAGGUUUACCUGUGUGACUGCGUACCUUUUGUAUAAUGGGUCAGCGACUUAUAUUCUGUAGCAAGGUUAACCGUAUAGGGGAGC
rnacentral:rRNA from 2 species